rnacentral:rRNA from 1 species
UACGUAGGGGGCAAGCGUUGUCCGGAUUUAUUGGGCGUAAAGCGCGUGUAGGCGGCUAGGUAGGUCCGCUGUGAAAACUCGAGGCUCAACCUCGAGACGUCGGCGGAAACCCUCUGGCUAGAGUCCGGAAGAGGAGAGUGGAAUUCCUGGUGUAGCGGUGAAAUGCGCAGAUAUCAGGAAGAACACCCGUGGCGAAGGCGGCUCUCUGGGACGGUACUGACGCUGAGACGCGAAAGCGUGGGGAGCAAACAGG